GGGCUAAACCAUGCACCGAAGCUGCGGCAGCGACACUCAGUGUUGUUGGGUAGGGGAGCGUCCUGUAUGCCUGCGAAGGUGGCCUGUGAGGGCUGCUGCAGGUAUCAGAAGUGCGAAUGCUGCCACAAGUAACGAUAAAGCGGGUGAAAAGCCCGGUCGCCGGAAGACCAAGGGUUCCUGUCCAACGUUAAUCGGGGCAGGGUGAGUCGACCCCUAAGGCGAGGCCGAAAGGCGUAGUCGAUGGGAAACAGGUUAAUAUUCCUGUACUUGGUGUUACUGCGAAGGGGGGACGGAGAAGGCUAUGUUAGCCGGGCGACGGUUGUCCCGGUUUAAGCAUGUAGGCGGAGGUUCCAGGUAAAUCCGGUACCUUUUAACGCUGAGGUGUGAUGACGAGGCACUACGGUGCUGAAGUAACAAAUGCCCUGCUUCCAGGAAAAGCCUCUAAGCAUCAGGUAACAUCAAAUCGUACCCCAAACCGACACAGGUGGUCAGGUAGAGAAUACCAAGGCGCUUGAGAGAACUCGGGUGAAGGAACUAGGCAAAAUGGUGCCGUAACUUCGGGAGAAGGCACGCUGGUGUGUAGGUGAAGUCCCUGCGGAUGGAGCUGAGACCAGUCGAAGAUACCAGCUGGCUGCAACUGUUUAUUAAAAACACAGCACUGUGCAAACACGAAAGUGGACGUAUACGGUGUGACGCCUGCCCGGUGCCGGAAGGUUAAUUGAUGGGGUUAUCCG
rnacentral:rRNA from 1 species